AAACUCAUUAAGGGCAGGAAAAUAGUCACCAAUGUGUGCUGCAAGUAGAUGAUAACAAGGCGAAAAAAAAAACAGCACGCUGUGGUACACAGUUUAUAUAUGCGUAUGCCGGGGGCACACCCAAAAGCAAACAGUUAACAACAUGACAAUGACAAAUCCGCAAUGGACGGAUGCCUGAUAAGAUGCAACAAAGUAUCUAACAAUGUGUACGUAUCGACCAGAUACACUCAUAAGUAUCACCAAGUAGAGCAUCUCGACAAGCAGCUCCUCUCUGUAAGAUGACUGAUGUGUGAUAUGUGGCCAUGAGCGGCGCUAAAAUUAGCAAGUUCAUAAAUUAAAUACACAUUUCAAGACAUUUCGCACAUUGCGUGGGCUCACACACAGCUACAGACGUCGAGGGCACAAGUGGCUGUCGCCUCGAAGCAUAUUCAUCCACUCGCAUGGCCAGCAGCAAGGCGAAAAAAAACAAUCAACCUCAGCACACGAGGUUUUGGGGGCCCCCAAAAACAUCUUUCAAUUUUAGCCGCUGCUGCUAAGUCUGGCACAACCACAAGACCACGGACCACUGGAGAGACCAGCCAAGUUGUCGGAUCAACAACGGUUUCUCUACAUGCACAAAAGUCACAGACGCUUUCCAAAUGUCACACGCGUCAGGGCAUUUUGUUUUACAACAACGCCCCAGAAUCGCAUCCAGCGAUAUAUUUAAAAACAUGAUUUUUAAUACCCUUACAAAUGGUAUUAUUAAUCGUAUCAUAAAGUAUGUAAUGCAUUAAGGCGAGACUAUAAAGUGCAUUUAUAGCCGGGCAACGACGGCUCGCAUC